AGUGAACGCUGGCGGUAGGCCUAACACAUGCAAGUCGAACGGCAGCACAGUAAGAGCUUGCUCUUACGGGUGGCGAGUGGCGGACGGGUGAGGAAUACAGCGGAAUCUACUUUUUCGUGGGGGAUAACGUAGGGAAACUUACGCUAAUACCGCAUACGACCUACGGGUGAAAGCAGGGGAUCUUCGGACCUUGCGCGAGUGAAUGAGCCGAUGUCGGAUGAGCUAGUUGGCGGGGUAAAGGCCCACCAAGGCGACGAUCCGUAGCUGGUAUGAGAGGAUGAUCAGCCAGACUGGAACUGAGAAACGGUCCAGACUCCUGCGGGAGGAAGCAGUGGGGAAUAUUGGAGGAGGGGCGCAAGGCGGAUCCAGCCAUACCGCGUGAGUGAAGAAGGCCUUCGGGUUGUAAAGUCCUUUUGUUGGGAAAGAAAAGAAGCACGUUAAUACCCCGAUGUUCUGACGGUACCCAAAGAAUAAGCACCGGCUAACUUCGUG
rnacentral:rRNA from 1 species